UACGGAGGGUGCAAGCGUUAUCCGGAUUCACUGGGUUUAAAGGGUGCGUAGGUGGGUUUGUAAGUCAGUGGUGAAAUCUCCAAGCUUAACUUGGAACUGCCGUUGAUACUAUAAAUCUUGAAUGUUGUGGAGGUGAGCGGAAUAUGUCAUGUAGCGGUGAAAUGCUUAGAUAUGACAUAGAACACCAAUUGCGAAGGCAGCUCACUAACACAAAGAUUGACACUGAGGCACGAAAGCGUUGGGGAUCAAAC
rnacentral:rRNA from 1 species